UGUGAGGCACUAAGCCAGGAUUGAUAA
rnacentral:piRNA from 1 species